GCUGGCGGUAUGCUUAAGACAUGCAAGUCGUGCGGUAGAAGGCUUCGGCCUUUGAGAGCGGCGGACGGGUGAGUAACACGUGGGAAUCUGCCUAUUAGUGGGGGACAGCCCAGCGAAAGCUGGAUUAAUACCGCAUACGCCCUACGGGGGAAAGCAGCAAUGCGCUAAUAGAUGAGCCCGCGUAAGAUUAGCUAGUUGGUAAGGUAAAGGCUUACCAAGGCGACGAUCUUUAGCUGGUCUGAGAGGAUGGCCAGCCACAUCGGGACUGAGACACGGCCCGGACUCCUACGGGAGGCAGCAAUCGGGAAUAUUGGACAAUGGGCGCAAGCCUGAUCCAGCAAUACCGCGUGUGUGAAGAAGGCCUGCGGGUUGUAAAGCACUUUCAGUUGGGAAGAUAAUGACGUUACCAACAGAAGAAGCACCGGCUAACUCCGUGCCAGCAGCCGCGGUAAUACGGAGGGUGCAAGCGUUAAUCGGAAUUACUGGGCGUAAAGCGUGCGUAGGCGGCCUGUUAAGUCAGAUGUGAAAGCCCCGGGCUUAACCUGGGAACUGCAUCUGAUACUGGGAGGCUAGAAUGUGGGAGAGGAGAGUGGAAUUUCCGGUGUAGCGGUGAAAUGCAUAGAGAUCGGAAGGAACACCAGCGGCGAAGGCGGCUCUCUGGACCAACAUUGACGCUGAGGCACGAAAGCGUGGGUAGCAAACAGGAUUAGAUACCCUGGUAGUCCACGCCGUAAACGAUGUCAACUAGCCGCCGGCCU
rnacentral:rRNA from 1 species